CCUCGUGGGAUCAAUCCUUAUUCACUUGAGGUACUACUUGGUACGACCCGGUGCACUUGCCGGUUAGUUUGUGGGUUAUAAAUUCUGCACCAGUGGUGUAUGUGCUGAAUUGAAAUUUUAUGGGGCAUCAUUAUUAUUGUUGGAAAUCUCAGUGUGUGAGUUGGAUGCAUGCGAUGCUUGAUAAUUAGUGUGUGAUGUGUGAGGUUGGAGAAUGAUGUCAUAUGCAAAAAGGUCAGUUUUGAACUGAAUAGAAGAUGCAGUGUGUGUGCUUUGGUCAGGGUGUGUGCUUAAGUAUGAAAGAUGAUCUUCAUAGAAAGACACAUCUCUUGAAGUAAAGAUCUCUCUAGUCUUUAGAUUAAUUAAGAGAUAUCCCUUGGUACCCUCCUUGAAACCCAAAAAUGCACAUCUUUUGGAUCUUGAAUCCAGUUUCUUUCGAUUUGCUUGGAGUGUACUGGCAUAUGCCAGACACCCAAAAACCCUUAAAUGAGAUAUGUCAGGUAAAGAGUUAUGCAAAGCUUGAUAAGGUGAUAAAUUGUUCAGAAAAUUUGAUGGUAAUCUAUUCAUGAUGUGAACUAAAUAUGAAACUGCAUAUUGCCAAAAACACUUAGGGACAUUUGAGUGAUAGAAAAUUGCUCUAGUUAUUUCAAGAAUGUGUUGAUGUUUUCAUUCAACAAUACCAUUUUGUUGAGGAGUUUCAACACAUGAUCUUUGGUGUAAUAUACCAGUUUCAUUGAAGAAGGAGUGCAUCAAAAAUUCAGUUCCAUUAUCGGACCUUAUACAUCUGAUUUUGCUGUCGUACUAUGUUUUAAAAAGUUUUACAAAAAAUUUAAUGAGAUCAGCAACUUCACUUUUGUUUUUCAUGAAGAAUACCCAAGUGAACCUUGUUUUAUCGUCUACUGUGGUUAAGAAAUAUCUUUGUCCUCCCGUGGAGGGAAUAGCUAGCGAGCCCCAAACAUCCACAUAAAUUAAAUCAAAGGAAGUUAAUGAAACUGUGCUACUAUUAUUGAAUGGUAAUCUCUUUUGCCUUGUUAGGUGACAUGAGUCACAAGGUUGUACAUCAGUGUCACAAUGAAUGAAUCUGAAAAUUUUCUUCAUUUUUUUCAUUCUAUGAGAUGGUGCAUGGCCUAACCUAAAAUGCCAUAGCUUUGUGUUUGAAAUAUUCAGUAUUGGCAUGUCUACAUGAGUUUUAUUUGAUACCUGUGUAAUUUCUGAUCGUGAAGCAUCACAGUUCAAGGUAUAAAGGCCACCACACACUCUAGCUACUCCAAUCAUCCUCUUCGAGAGUUCAUCUCCUCCACGUCCGUCUAUGCGGUUUGUCAGCGUCCUGGAGCCCCUUCUCUCACUGCCCGAUCCCCGGUGGUUCCUCUCUCACCCUCACUCCAGUCAUCCCGCUGCAGUUGGAAAAGAUGCCCCGGGUAGGUCGUUUCACGAAGAAAGCCCGUGUAGGCAUAGCAUGUCAGCAGCCUCAAGUGGGAGGUCAUGCGGCUUCAACUUCGCAGAGAGCGGACUACCCAAUUCCGCUGCCCAGUGGUAAUAGUGCCCCCACAUCCUCGUCUUUACGCCCCUUUCGUCCGCCCCGAACCGAACCACUGCCUGCUCCACAGGCUUCCAUGAAUGAUGUUCAAAACUCGGAGCCGGACGCCGAAGAGGUAGACCCAGAGGCAGAUGAGGUAGAUUCUUUUGACCAACAUGUUGAUAAUCUUUUUUGCUGCAUCGGAUGCUCAGAAGUGCAAGGGACGCAAGACCACAGAAUUUUGGGAUGUUAAAACAAUUGAAUCCGAUGGCACAAUCAAACAGGUCAAACUGAGUGUGAAGGAAGCUAUGAAGCCACCUAACGGAAGAAAGGUCGUACUCGGGUUUAACAGUGCACUGCAACUAGUUGGGGAUGAAACAGGAAAGAAUUGAGGCUAUUGAGUAAUGUGAUGAAUCCUCUAGACUGUUGUCUCAAAAUGAUUCGCUUGCUCAAGCUCUCAGAAAGGAGCACCCGGGUAGGAUGCGUGGCAUGGGGUUGGGGCUGACUUUUAGUCAAGUCUUCGGUAUGAAUUUCCAUCAGCCGAUCAAUGAUUUUGAAAGGGAGGAAACCCAAAGGGUGCUACUUGAACUACAAGCAGAGUUGGCAGCAGAAAAAUUGAAAAAGAAGGCAGUGGAGGAUGAAGUAGCAGCCGAGAAGACCAAAAGACAGGCAGUGGAGGAUGAAGUAGCAGUUGGGAAGGUCAGGUUGCAGGCAAUGGAAGGUGCUUUGAUAUGUCUACUUCAAGGGCAAGGUAGGAAGCUGCCAUCAAACGUCACUGCAUGGAUGAGUGCAUUGGAGGGACAGAAUAGAAAGUAGAUCUUAGGAUUAUGGAACCUUUUCUUCUUUUAGUUAUAGACUUUUAUGUUCUUGAUUAUGCAACUCUUAGUAAGGAGUACAGUUUGUUGAUAUUUGAAUAAUUAUAUUAAUUAAAUUAUGGAACCUUUUCUUC